UGAGUAAUGCCUAGGAAUCUGCCUGGUAGUGGGGGACAACGUUUCGAAAGGAACGCUAAUACCGCAUACGUCCUACGGGAGAAAGCAGGGGACCUUCGGGCCUUGCGCUAUCAGAUGAGCCUAGGUCGGAUUAGCUUGUUGGUGAGGUAAUGGCUCACCAAGGCGACGAUCCGUAACUGGUCUGAGAGGAUGAUCAGUCACACUGGAACUGAGACACGGUCCAGACUCCUACGGGAGGCAGCAGUGGGGAAUAUUGGACAAUGGGCGAAAGCCUGAUCCAGCCAUGCCGCGUGUGUGAAGAAGGUCUUCGGAUUGUAAAGCACUUUAAGUUGGGAGGAAGGGCAGUAAGCGAAUACCUUGCUGUUUUGACGUUACCGACAGAAUAAGCACCGGCUAACUCUGUGCCAGCAGCCGCGGUAAUACAGAGGGUGCAAGCGUUAAUCGGAAUUACUGGGCGUAAAGCGCGCGUAGGUGGUUUGUUAAGUUGGAUGUGAAAGCCCCGGG
rnacentral:rRNA from 1 species